rnacentral:lncRNA from 1 species
GUUCCUGGCAGGACGCCGGGCAGAGGCGGAGGCAGUGCUGAAGGCAGACAACGCACUGAGCGAGGCCGAGAAGCAGCUGGAGGACCAGAAGCAGCAGGCGCAGCUCCUGGAGCAGCAGCAGAAGGCGACGGCGGAGCGCGAACGGCAGCUAGAGGCGCUGCUGGCGGACGAGCGCAGCAGCUACGAGCAGAACCUGCAAGCACUGGAGGCCAAGAUGCAGGCGGAGGCGGCGAGCACGCAGCAGGAGCUGAACCGGGCGCUGGAGGCGAAGCUACGGGAGCACAACGAGCUGCUGCAGCGCGGCUUCAGAGAGCGGGCGGCGCUGAUGGAGCAGGAGGUGGCGGCGCUGCGGCGGGAGAUGAACACCACCAACAACCAGGAGCUGGCGGCCAACGCCCUCGACGCCGUGCGCGCCGCCUGCGACCUCGCCAGCGUGGUAAAGAUGACCAGAGCGUUACGGGGUACAGCGGUGUAAGCUACUGCACACCAAUCAACCUCCGCCCGCCCCUGCUCGGCGGCCAAAUAAAGCGCUCCUCCCGCAGCCCCGCUACCCGCGCUCCUCUCUUGCGACGCUUCCGGCGCGAUGACGUCAUAACCUGGGCGACCGGACCCAUCCGCGCCCCCUUGCGGCCGUACCGCGGCGCGGCGCUGGGAGGGAAGGAACGAGGGAAGGAGCGAAACCUCGCGGCAGGGGAUUGGGUGGGGCGAUCUCGCGAGAGGGUGGGUUUUCCGGCUUCUUCCGGCUGGCGGUCGUGGUACUCACUUCCGGGUGUUGCGUGUGUGCGGGUGGCAGUGAGGUGAGAGAGGGCGCUCGGAGCGUCCCUGGGCCAGAAGCGCCUAGGAGAGCGACUAGGUUUGGGGACCGAGGCCUAAGCGCCAGGUCCAGGGCUCGGAACCAGGGCCAGGGAACGAGAGUCAGAACCGGGGACCACGGCCAGGCCUUGGGCCAGAGAUCAGGGCCCCAGUUCCGACACCAGGCCCUAAGCCUGGGAAUCGGGACUCACGGUCAGGGGCUGAGAUCCAGAGACCGGACCUAGGGCCCAGGAACCGACCCCGGGGAGCAGGCAGUUAGGCUAGGAAGUGAGGACCAGCCCUGGAAACUAGGCCCAGAGCCCAGGGUUGGGCCUAGGAGAGCGACUAGGUUUGGGGACUGAGGCACAGGGACCGAGGUCCAGGGCUCGGAACGUGCUCCUACAAGUCAGCCAUAAGACAGAGCCCAGGGACCAGCACAGAGCCACACCAAGUGACUGCUUUUGUUGUUGUAAGAACACAAGUAAGCGGUAACUUCCAUAACAAGGCAAGCACCAGAUGCACACCAAAGCAGGAGGCAACAAGGCUCCCAGCCCUUCCUGGCUCCCAGUCCCAGUCACUGUGGAAAACUGGAUCCUUUGAAAACUCUUCAUCUUUCACUUAUCUACUCUAACCUGAGCUGGAGCCCGCUUUGUGCCUGUAAUGCAAUGGGAUGCGCCACAAGGCAGC